CCCCCCAACUCUCUCUCUCUCUCUCUCUCUCUCUCUCUCUCUGCUCCUGGGAUUUACAAUGCCAAUGGUGAUCACAAGAUGGCUUUUUUAGCGGUAAUGCGGUUGGAAGAGUGAGUUACUUGAUUGAUGGAAUUGGUUGUUUUUGAUUUGCUAAGCUGCCUACUUUCACAUGGUAAUCUCCUUUUGCCCUUGUCUUCAUUGCCUCUAAGCAUUGGUUCUGAGAGAAGCCGUAAAAGUUUGCUUUUUUAGCGGUAAUAGUGUUGAAGGAUUGAGAACUUUUUGAUUUAAUCGAUUGUUUCUCUCGAUUGCCGUUGUUCAUCUCAAGGUAAUCUUGUUUCUCUCAUUUUCAAUUGCCCCUUUGAAUUGGUUCUAAAAGAAGCUGUUUUUGAUGGAAAAGGUGGGUCUUUUGGCAGUGAUAGAGAUGAAAGACUGAGUUUCUUGAUUGAAUUGGUUGUUUUGCUUUGCUAAGAGAGGCAUGCAGUACCAAAUUUGUUUCUUUUCUCCCUUCAAGAAGGCCUUGAAGGUUGGAAUUCUUGCUCUGUUUUGUGGUUCUUUGAGGUAUUGGGGAGUUGAGGUUUUAGCUUCUUCAUGUUGGAAGGAUGUUUGCAUUGUGUUUUUGAUGGUGUUGGUCGGCUUUUUGGUCCUUAGAGGGCGGCGGUGCCCUCACCGAAGCGAAGAACUCAAGGGUGUUUGCUCACAUUGUGUUCAUUGUUCAUCCUGUCAAUCAAUGAAUCAAUCUUGUGAUCCUUGUAAAAAGGAGGACAAAAGUGAGAGUGAAGAAGCUCUUGAUGGAACAGAGGAAGACAUUGUGAUGAAAUUGAAGGAAGAGAUUGCCAGGGAGAAAGAACUUCGUAAUGCAUUGGAAUUAGAACUUGAGAGAGAAAGGACUGCAGCUUCAUGGGCUGCUGAUGAAGCAUUGGCAAAGAUUUCAAAACUUCAGGGUGAGAAAUGGUGGGCCGAGAUGGAAGCUAAUCAGGAACGAAUAAAAGCCGAGCUGAAUCAGUUAUCAUAUCUGCAUGUUAUCGAAUCACUUUACGGAGACUUGAAGAUGAGAGGGAUGAAUGAGGAUAUCAAUUCAAAUCAUUUGGACAGCUAAAUGCAUAGAAAGAUUUCUCAAGAUGGAAUGGUUUCAGCGAUUCUUUUGAUUUUAUAUGGAAUAAAUGAACCGCUGGACCGGUCUGUGUUCGAUGUGGUCGAACUCUUUACCCAAAAACUAAUAGAAAGAGCUAUCUUAUCAACCAUGGAAUCUGAGAUCCUUAAAAUGGCUUCAACUGUAUCACUCUUCUCAUUGUUAACGUUUGCAGCAGAUAUACAAUUAU